GAUGAACGCUGGCGGCGUGCCUAAUACAUGCAAGUCGAGCGAACAGAUGAGGAGCUUGCUCCUCUGACGUUAGCGGCGGACGGGUGAGUAACACGUGGAUAACCUACCUAUAAGACUGGGAUAACUUCGGGAAACCGGAGCUAAUACCGGAUAAUAUAUUGAACCGCAUGGUUCAAUAGUGAAAGACGGUUUUGCUGUCCCUUAUAGAUGGAUCCGCGCCGCAUUAGCUAGUUGGUAAGGUAACGGCUUACCAAGGCGACGAUGCGUAGCCGACCUGAGAGGGUGAUCGGCCACACUGGAACUGAGACACGGUCCAGACUCCUACGGGAGGCAGCAGUAGGGAAUAUUCCGCAAUGGGCGAAAGCCUGACGGAGCAACGCCGCGUGAGUGAUGAAGGUCUUCGGAUCGUAAAACUCUGUUAUUAGGGAAGAACAAAUGUGUGAGUAACUAUGCACGUCUUGACGGUGCCUAAUCAGAAAGCCACGGCUAACUACGUG
rnacentral:rRNA from 1 species